rnacentral:tRNA from 1 species
AGUAAUAUGGCUGAAUAUGAGGCAAUAAAUUGUAAAUUUAUUAAUAAAUCUGAUAAAUUUUGUUACUA